AACACAUGCAAGUCGAACGGAAAGGCCCUGCUUUUGUGGGGUGCUCGAGUGGCGAACGGGUGAGUAACACGUGAGUAACCUGCCCUUGACUUUGGGAUAACUUCAGGAAACUGGGGCUAAUACCGGAUAGGAGCUCCUGCUGCAUGGUGGGGGUUGGAAAGUUUCGGCGGUUGGGGAUGGACUCGCGGCUUAUCAGCUUGUUGGUGGGGUAGUGGCUUACCAAGGCUUUGACGGGUAGCCGGCCUGAGAGGGUGACCGGCCACAUUGGGACUGAGAUACGGCCCAGACUCCUACGGGAGGCAGCAGUGGGGAAUAUUGCACAAUGGGCGGAAGCCUGAUGCAGCAACGCCGCGUGCGGGAUGACGGCCUUCGGGUUGUAAACCGCUUUCGCCUGUGACGAAGCGUGAGUGACGGUAAUGGGUAAAGAAGCACCGGCUAACUACGUGCCAGCAGCCGCGGUGAUACGUAGGGUGCGAGCGUUGUCCGGAUUUAUUGGGCGUAAAGGGCUCGUAGGUGGUUGAUCGCGUCGGAAGUGUAAUCUUGGGGCUUAACCCUGAGCGUGCUUUCGAUACGGGUUGACUUGAGGAAGGUAGGGGAGAAUGGAAUUCCUGGUGGAGCGGUGGAAUGCGCAGAUAUCAGGAGGAACACCAGUGGCGAAGGCGGUUCUCUGGGCCUUUCCUGACGCUGAGGAGCGAAAGCGUGGGGAGCGAACAGGCUUAGAUACCCUGGUAGUCCACGCUGUAAACGGUGGGUACUAGGUGUGGGGUCCAUUCCACGGGUUCCGUGCCGUAGCUAACGCUUUAAGUACCCCGCCUGGGGAGUACGGCCGCAAGGCUAAAACUCAAAGGAAUUGACGGGGCCCCGCACAAGCGGCGGAGCAUGCGGAUUAAUUCGAUGCAACGCGUAGAACCUUACCUGGGUUUGACAUGGAUCGGGAGUGCUCAGAGAUGGGUGUGCCUCUUUUGGGGUCGGUUCACAGGUGGUGCAUGGCUGUCGUCAGCUCGUGUCGUGAGAUGUUGGGUUAAGUCCCGCAACGAGCGCAACCCUUGUUCACUGUUGCCAGCACGUUAUGGUGGGGACUCAGUGGAGACCGCCGGGGUCAACUCGGAGGAAGGUGGGGAUGACGUCAAGUCAUCAUGCCCCUUAUGUCCAGGGCUUCACGCAUGCUACAAUGGCUGGUACAGAGAGUGGCGAGCCUGUGAGGGUGAGCGAAUCUCGGAAAGCCGGUCUCAGUUCGGAUUGGGGUCUGCAACUCGACCUCAUGAAGUCGGAGUCGCUAGUAAUCGCAGAUCAGCAACGCUGCGGUGAAUACGUUCCCGGGGCUUGUACACACCGCCCGUCAAGUCAUGAAAGUUGGUAACACCCGAAGCCGGUGGCCUAACCGUUGUGGGGGAGCCGUCGAAGGUGGGACUGGUGAUUAGG
rnacentral:rRNA from 1 species